AACGAACGCUGGCGGCAGGCUUAACACAUGCAAGUCGAACGCACCUUUCGGGGUGAGUGGCAGACGGGUGAGUAACGCGUGGGAAUCUACCCUUCUCUACGGGAUAGCUCCGGGAAACUGGAAUUAAUACCGUAUACGUCCUGAGGGAGAAAGAUUUAUCGGGGAAGGAUGAGCCCGCGUUGGAUUAGCUAGUUGGUGGGGUAAAGGCCUACCAAGGCGACGAUCCAUAGCUGGUCUAAGAGGAUGAUCAGCCACAUUGGGACUGAGACACGGCCCAAACUCCUACGCGAGGCAGCAGUGGGGAAUAUUGGACAAUGGGCGCAAGCCUGAUCCAGCCAUGCCGCGUGAGUGAUGAAGGCCCUAGGGUUGUAAAGCUCUUUCAGUGGGGACGAUAAUGACGGUACCCACAGAAGAAGCCCCGGCUAACUUCGUG
rnacentral:rRNA from 1 species